CCUACCUUGUGAGUGUUCAAAGGAAGACAACUGGGGCCUUGCCGCAAACCGAUUCCAAGUCUUGCUCCUUCAACCCACCACCGAGCACCCCCCUGGGGGGACAUGUACCUCUCAAAACGGGCCCUGAACCCGCAACGCUUUGUUAAUCUCAAAACAAUAAAUAAGGUUCCGAGUGAAGCCUUCAGAAUAAAAGAUUGGCUAGCGCAGUAUCCCUAGCGCAGCUACCGGCGUGGUCAUAAGGACGAUGAGCUACAGCACGGGUAAGCUUGAACACCCCAGAGCAGAUCCCAUUAGCCAAGAACGCUACAUAUCUGGAAGCCAGUCAACUUCACGUUUUCAGCUGACUGCUGUAUUAUGCACGGCUGUGUUUUACAUAUAGCAGACUGUAUACGGAAUAUGUCUUUAUGUUGAACAUUUUAAUUUGUAAAUGCUAAUUAGGCAGUUGGUCUCCACGGUUAUAUUAGUAGAUACCUCAUCAUUUCCCACUAUAAGUAAAUGAAUACUAAACACGGUAAACACGCACUUUCUUUUCCAUACCUCCGCGGCAGUAUCGCUUCUACACCCAAUUUCCACAGUGCGUCCAUUCGGACAAAA